rnacentral:rRNA from 1 species
UACGUAGGGACCAAGCGUUGUUCGGAUUUACUGGGCGUAAAGGGCGCGUAGGCGGCGUGACAAGUCACUUGUGAAAUCUCUGAGCUUAACUCAGAACGGCCAAGUGAAACUGUUGUGCUAGAGUGCAGAAGGGGCAAUCGGAAUUCUUGGUGUAGCGGUGAAAUGCGUAGAUAUCGGGAGGAACACCAGUGGCGAAGGCGACUACCUGGCCUGUUCUUGACGCUGAGGCGCGAAAGCUAGGGGAGCAAACGGG